rnacentral:rRNA from 1 species
UGGGGAAUCUUGCACAAUGGGGGCAACCCUGAUGCAGCGACGCCGCGUGAGCGAUGAAGGUUUUCGAAUCGUAAAGCUCUGUCCUAUGGGAAGAUAAUGACGGUACCAUAGGAGGAAGCCCCGGCUAACUACGUGCCAGCAGCCGCGGUAAUACGUAGGGGGCGAGCGUUGUCCGGAAUUACUGGGCGUAAAGGGUUCGCAGGCGGCAUGGCAAGUCCGAUGUAAAAGGCGAAGGCUCAACCUUCGUAAGCAUCGGAAACUGUCAAGCUUGAGUGUAGGGGAGGCAAGUGGAAUUCCUGGUGUAGCGGUGGAAUGCGUAGAUAUUAGGAGGAAUACCGGUGGCGAAGGCAACUUGCUGGACUUCAACUGACGCUGAGGAACGAAAGCGUGGGUAGCAAACAGG